GACUAAAUCAUUUUGUCUGUUAAGUCUCAGGUAGAUGCAUCUCUUAUAAGCUACAAUACAUGAAUCAUCGUAGAAUAUAAGUCUUAAACUUAUCAUUACCAUCACCUCAAAGAAAACUGCCAGGCUCUGAAGAAAGACAUGGAGGACCCAGAUGAAAGGGAAACAAGAUAUGUACAUACACAUGAAGAAAGAACUGAAGGUCAUAUUAGAUUUACUCAUGUUGGCCCAUACUCUGUGCGCUUAGAAUGGGGAGAACCAGCUGUGGACAUGUGUGGACAACAAGCAUACAAAAUCAGAUGGAAGUCUGCAGUAGUAACUUAUUCUUACACAACAAAAGCAAAUAAUUAUGAGAUAACAAAUCUCUCACCUUGCACAACAUAUAACAUCACAGUUGUGGGAACUGAGGACAACAAGUGUUUCUCUGAAUCUGUGUGUACAGGUAAAAUUAUUGCUGCUAAUACUGCUCAUUUACAUUAUAUUAUGUUCAAAAUAUAUGAUAUAUGAUCAAAUUUAGCCAUUUUCUUCAAUGACUCCUUGGUACCAAAAGUAAAACAUCAGUAUAUAAGAGCAUUACAAAAAGCAGCAUAUCUAAAUUAAUUAAAAGUA